rnacentral:rRNA from 1 species
GACGAACGCUGGCGGCGCGCCUAAUACAUGCAAGUCGAACGGGUCUCCUUCGGGAGGUCAGUGGCGGACGGGUGAGUAACACGUGGGUGACCUGCCCCGAAGUGGGGAAUAACGCUGCGAAAGCAGCGCUAAUACCGCAUAUGCUUAACGGUCCAAUCUGUUAAGCAAAGCAAGAGCAAUCUUGCGCUUUGGGAGGGGCCUGCGGCAGAUUAGCUAGUCGGUGGGGUAANGGCCUACCGAGGCGACGAUCUGUAGCUGGUCUGAGAGGAUGACCAGCCACACUGGGACUGAGACACGGCCCAGACUCCUACGGGAGGCAGCAGUAAGGAAUAUUCCACAAUGGGGGAAACCCUGAUGGAGCGACGCCGCGU